rnacentral:rRNA from 1 species
CGGUAAUACCGGCAGCUCRAGNUGGUCGUCGCUUUUAUUGGGCCUAAAACGUCCGUAGCCUGUUUGGUAAAUCUGUGGGUAAAUCAACCAGCUUAACUGGUUGAAUUCUGCAGAGACUGCCAGACUAGGGACCGGGAGAGGUGUGGGGUACUCUAGGGGUAGGGGUAAAAUCCUGUCAUCCUUAGAGGACCACCAGUUGCGAAGGCGCCACACURGAACGGAUCCGACGGUCAGGGACGAAGCCUAGGGGCACGAACCGGAUUAGAUACCCGGGUAGUCCUAGGUGUAAACGCUGUGAACUUGGUGUCGGGAGUCCGCAAUGGGCCCCCGGUGCCGGAGUGAAGAUGUUAAGUUCACUGCCUGGGGAGUACGGUCGCAAGGCUGAAACUUAAAGGAAUUGGCCGGUAAUACCGGCAGCUCRAGNUGGUCGUCGCUUUUAUUGGGCCUAAAACGUCCGUAGCCUGUUUGGUAAAUCUGUGGGUAAAUCAACCAGCUUAACUGGUUGAAUUCUGCAGAGACUGCCAGACUAGGGACCGGGAGAGGUGUGGGGUACUCUAGGGGUAGGGGUAAAAUCCUGUCAUCCUUAGAGGACCACCAGUUGCGAAGGCGCCACACURGAACGGAUCCGACGGUCAGGGACGAAGCCUAGGGGCACGAACCGGAUUAGAUACCCGGGUAGUCCUAGGUGUAAACGCUGUGAACUUGGUGUCGGGAGUCCGCAAUGGGCCCCCGGUGCCGGAGUGAAGAUGUUAAGUUCACUGCCUGGGGAGUACGGUCGCAAGGCUGAAACUUAAAGGAAUUGGC